GGUUGUUGGGGGGUGGUUUCAGACACAUCACUUAAUCAACUUCCUCCAUCUUGCUGCCCUCAGCAUCAGCAUCAGCGUCCUCCAAUGGGGGCAUCUCAGCAUCACCGUCAACAGCAUCGUCGUCAAUGCUCAAUCCAAGCUUCAACAUUCUGUGGAUCCUGUUGCCAAAGGUGUUGGGGUCAUCAAGGCUGAACCCAGAGGUGAGGAGAGCAGUCUCGAACAGAAGGAGAACAAGGUCCUUCACUGACUUGUCAUUCUUGUCUGCAUCAGCCCUCUUUCUCAGCUCCUCCAUGAUGGGGUUCUCUGGGUUGAUCUCCAUGGUCUUCUUGCUCGACAUGUACCCAGCCAUGCUGUUAUCCCUCAAGGCCUGAGCCUUCAUGAUUCUUUCCAUGUUGGCAGUCCAGCCAUACUCGCCUGUCACCAAACAGCAGGGAGAGUCGACCACACGGUCAGACACCACAACCUUCUCCACUCUGUCACCCAAAACAUCCUUCACAACCUUGCAGAGUCCCUCAAACUUCUCCUUCAACUCUUCCUUCUUCUUUGCCUCGUCUUCACUCUCAUCAAGCUUGAGACCUUCCUUGGUGGCUGAGACAAGCUUCUUGCCCUCAAACUCCUUGAGCUGACCAACAG
rnacentral:lncRNA from 1 species